UGGGGAAUUUUGGACAAUGGGCGCAAGCCUGAUCCAGCCAUGCCGCGUGCGGGAAGAAGGCCUUCGGGUUGUAACCGCUUUUGUCAGGGAAGAAAUCUUCUGAGUUAAUACCUCGGGGGGAUGACGGUACCUGAAGAAUAAGCACCGGCUAACUACGUGCCAGCAGCCGCGGUAAUACGUAGGGUGCAAGCGUUAAUCGGAAUUACUGGGCGUAAAGCGUGCGCAGGCGGUUUUGUAAGACAGAGGUGAAAUCCCCGGGCUCAACCUGGGAACUGCCUUUGUGACUGCAAGGCUUGAGUGCGGCAGAGGGGGAUGGAAUUCCGCGUGUAGCAGUGAAAUGCGUAGAUAUGCGGAGGAACACCGAUGGCGAAGGCAAUCCCCUGGGCCUGCACUGACGCUCAUGCACGAAAGCGUGGGGAGCAAACAGGAUUAGAUACCCUGGUAGUCCACGCCCUAAACGAUGUCAACUGGUUGUUGGGAAGGUUCCUUCUCAGUAACGUAGCUAACGCGUGAAGUUGACCGCCUGGGGAGUACGGCCGCAAGGUUGAAACUCAAAUGAAUUGACGGGGUCAUAGCUG
rnacentral:rRNA from 1 species